AGUCGAGCCGGAGGGGCGGGUCUCCCCUUUUGUCCCCACUUGGGGUUAGAGGCCUUCGCAGUGGCUUCACUUGGACGCCAGGGGCCCAGCCUCCAACCCAGCUCUCUGUGGGUUGGAGGUGUGUUUUGGAAGGGGGUGGGCUGGGGCUUGGGAAAGCCGAUUGGGGCCUCCCCUUCGGGAUCCCCCCCAGCCCCCCGCCGCGAUAGUGCCCGAGGGUAAAGCCUUAGAUCCUGGCCUUCCUGGGGGAGGGGAUGUGGACAGGGCGGGUCUUUGGAAAUGCAGAUGAGUCGUCUCCCGCUGCUGGUCUCCUGGGUUGAACUUUAGUGACUCAGCCACCCUCACCCCACCCCCACCCAUUCCACAGUGAGGGCCGCCUUGUCAGCUGGGAAAGGGGGGGGGGGGACACAGCAUUUCUGUGACUCCCUUUCUAUCUAGUAGACCCUGUUGGUAUUGCAUUUGGCCAAUCCAUUCUCUCUGAACCUACAAACUGUGGAAUUGCCCUAACAGAACGUCCGAAUUUACAGGUCUUGGCCGGAGACCGGAGCCAUGUCUGUGUUAUCCCCACUGUAGACAAUCCUUGCUUCCUCUGGACAUCUGGAGCAGGCCCAAUUUGACUGAGAGCCUUCCCCCACUAAGGGUGGGGCAGUUUGUCCUGCUGUUGUUCCUGGCCCCGAGGGGUGCCCCGCCUCCUGGUCACCCACGGAGCGUGGGGCGGAGCCGCUCUGGCCUGCAGAGAGAGGGCCACGCCAGCAGAAGGCUUGCCUGAACUGGGAGGUGGCUGUACUCGAUUUACUACACGAGAUUCCAGUGUCCCCGCCCCUUCCGGCUCCUCCACCUGGCCCCGAGCCCAAGUUUGGAAUAUGACCUUUUUAGACUCUCUGCAACCGAGGUGGGUCGGAGGACCCGCCAUCCCCGCUCUCCACGGCCCCCAGUGUUUUCUCGGAUUGUUCCGUGCCAAUGGGAACCAGGAGGGAAAGUUGAACAAAAACCUUCAGAGCUAUUAAAUUGUCGCGUGAUGGAGGAGGGUCUUGCUGUGUCCGGGCUAGUCCUAGUGACAGGUUAGGACCCUAGGUAUAUCCCUUUGUACCAACGUUCGCUGGUUUUCCGCCUGGCUUCCAGAAAUCACUAAGCCCAUCCUCUGCUUGUUCCCUGGAGCUGUUAAGUAGCUGAGACUUGGAGCGGUCAGGCUGCCUAACCAGGUAGAUAAGAUAGCCUGGCUUCACCCCUCUGCUAGAGUCUUUAUCUCCCCCCUCUUAUCCGUUCCAUCUGCAUUUGGAUAGCUCAAUAAUUGAUUUAUGGGGCCUCUGAAUAGGGGAGUGGUGGCCUUAGCCUCCCCCACCCAAAUUUGUACUUUGUCCUUAAAGGCUGCAGUCUGUUCUCCUCUGCCCCCCUGGAUCUGAGCUUUAGUCUCUGCAGUGACCACCUGACAGCUCCCUGAGGGGGGUUUGAGGCAAGAACCCACAGAAGCAAUUUCUUGCUUUCCUCUGCUCUCUAGGAAUUCCUGGACAAUGGAGAGUGCCCCAGGCCCCCUGAACAUCUUGCUGAUGAGGGAGUAAAGCCACCCUGGGUGGGUGUGAGUGCGCGCGCGCGCGCCUAUCUCCUCAGCUGGCCCGGCCCGACCUCUGAGGAGGCUCUCACCAGCAGCUGGCUAGAUUCCUGGUUAUUUUUAGUUACAGAUCCAGCCCCACCAUCACCACCAGAGUUGAGUCCAAAUCCAACACUCUAGGCCGGGUAGUGCUGGGACUUUGCCAGCCUCCUGCUGAGGUAGGGCUGGGUGAGUAGGCAGGCUGGAACGGGUGGGGUGGCCGUGUGCUGUCUGAACCCUCCCCAGAGCUGGUCGCUUUUGGUCAUUUCCUCCCUGCAGACUUGCUCUUCCUCCACACAGGUCUGGGGGAGUUUGUGGGAAGCCAGGAGCCCUCUCUUGGUUAUAUGUAGUAGAACAAGUUUUUUUUCUUAGAAGUGAAUUCUCCCCUUGGCAAACUGCAGCCAGCCAGCCUCCUGGGUCGAGAGCCAAGCCAAAAGAUGUCUGAGAGAAGAAACCUGGGGUCCUGCAAAGGUAAGUGGGUCCCAGCCCACUCUCAAUCCCCCUCUCUCUGUGUGAUUGCUAUUCCACACUGGAGUCACCUGCUCUGUGCUUCUGAGGAACCUCACCUCUGGCACAUCAAUGGAAAUUGUCCUUCCCUUUUUAUUUAUUUUUAUUUAUUUUUUAUUUUUUGCCACCCUCACUGGCCACUAAGAGAUAGCCCUAGCUCCUCCUCUCCUGCCUGGUUUUGACAGGACUCACUCCAUUGAGUCCUGUCUCGUCUCUUUGCAGCCCUCCUCCUCCCCCCCCCCCCCCUUCAGCCAGCACUUAGGCCCUCCCUGAUUUAGCCCGUUACCUUGACAACCACUUGGGCCUGUCUCCCUCAUCACCACUGAAAACCUGAAGGUGGUUUUCCAGCUGCGGUACAUUUGCCCAAGUUGGGCACCCCUCCAGCUUCUAUUGGCUCGCCCUCUAUACAGCUGUACCCAAUAUAACAAACACAACCUUCCUGGCCCCUCAGCUGUAGUCUCGAAAUUGAUCUCACUGGUCCCGGGAACUCCGUCAAUACUGCCUCCUCUAGACUGAGCUCCUCACAGGCAGGAACAUGGUUGUUUCUCAAUAAACAAGUUGC
rnacentral:lncRNA from 1 species